rnacentral:rRNA from 1 species
UUUAAUGAGAGUUUGAUCCUGGCUCAGGACGAACGCUGGCGGCGUGCCUAAUACAUGCAAGUAGAACGCUGAGGUUUGGUGUUUACACUAGACUGAUGAGUUGCGAACGGGUGAGUAACGCGUAGGUAACCUGCCUCAUAGCGGGGGAUAACUAUUGGAAACGAUAGCUAAUACCGCAUAAGAGUAAUUAACACAUGUUGGUU